GUGUUAAUGAUGAGAACUCAUAAUGUAUAGAAGAGACAAUAACCUAAAAGUCAUGUUAGAUAGGUUUACACUGAAGCC
ensembl:snoRNA SNORD115 Small nucleolar RNA SNORD115